CGGCAGACGGGUGAGUAACGCGUGGGAACAUACCUUUUGGUUCGGAACAACACAGGGAAAACUUGUGCUAAUACCGGAUAAGCCCUUACGGGGAAAGAUUUAUCGCCGAAAGAUUGGCCCGCGUCUGAUUAGCUAGUUGGUGAGGUAAUGGCUCACCAAGGCGACGAUCAGUAGCUGGUCUGAGAGGAUGAUCAGCCACAUUGGGACUGAGACACGGCCCAA
rnacentral:rRNA from 1 species